rnacentral:rRNA from 1 species
AGCAGCCGCGGUAAUUCCAGCUCCAAUAGCGUAUAUUAAAGUUGUUGUGGUUAAAAAGCUCGUAGUUGGAUCUCAGUUCGAGUCAGACGGUCCACUUGCCAGUGGUUACUGUUUGACUGAACACUUUACCGAGUUGUCCUAUGGUGCUCUUCACCGAGUGUCAUAGGCGAUCGGUACGUUUACUUUGAAAAAAUUAGAGUGCUCAAAGCAGGCGUAACGCCCGAAUAAUGUUGCAUGGAAUAAUGGAAUAGGACCUCGGUUCUAUUUUGUUGGUCUUCGGAGUCAGAGGUAAUGACUAAGAGGGACAGACGGGUGGAUUCGUAUUGCGGCGCUAGAGGUGAAAUUCUUGGACCGUCGCAAGACGAACUAAAGCGAAAGCAUUUCCAAAGAAUGUUUUCAUUAAUCAAGAACGAAAGUUAGAGGUUCGAAGGCGAUCAGAUACCGUCGUAGUCUUAACCAUAAACUAUGCCGACUAGGGAUCGGAUGAUGUUAUUUUUAAUGACUCA